rnacentral:lncRNA from 1 species
CGCAGUGAAUGUUUUUCGAGAAAUCCUUGAAAGACUUUAUCCGGUAUUUUAGAGUCAACUAAAAAAGUUUUUGUUUAUAGCCAAUUUAUAAAAUAUUUGUAUAUAACAAUAUCAUCCGAGUGUUAUAUUAUAUGAAGUUUGGAAAAGAGGUUUGUUAUGUGACACCAAUGGGAUUGAAACAUCCAAAAAUUGGAAUUAUUGUGUAAGAAAAACCAGUAGUUUGAAAGUUCAUAAAUAUGGUGAAUUUCUUGAAAAUGAUGGAACUCAACCGAAGUUCAACUAUAAGACGUGUGGUGAUGUUAAUCAGGUCUUGCCAAGGUAUAUUUUAUUAAAUAUUUGUAUUUAAUUUUA